rnacentral:rRNA from 1 species
AGAGUUUGAUCCUGGCUCAGGACGAACGCUGGCGGCGUGCCUAACACAUGCAAGUCGAACGGGGUAACGCUCAACACUGAAUGUUCAGUGACGAGCCGACAGCGCAUACGAUUGCGAAGCAAUCGUUACGCAAAAUAAAGUGCCAACACGAAACAUUGAAUGUUGAGUGUUGUGCGUUACCUAGUGGCGAACGGGUGAGU